rnacentral:rRNA from 1 species
GACGAACGCUGGCGGCGUGCUUAACACAUGCAAGUCGAGCGAGGCCCUUCCUUCGGGAAGGUGUCCUAGCGGCGAACGGGUGAGUAACACGUGGGCAAUCUGCCCUCAGCUCUGGGAUAACUCCGGGAAACCGGGGCUAACACCGGAUAUGACCUCGUGAGGCAUCUCGCGAGGUGGAAAGGUUACGGCUGAGGAUGAGCCCGNGGCCUAUCAGCUUGUUGGUGGGGUANGGCCCACCAAGGCGACGACGGGUAGCCGGCCUGAGAGGGUGACCGGCCACACUGGGACUGAGACACGGCCCAGACUCCUACGGGAGGCAGCAGUGGGGAAUAUUGCGCAAUGGGCGAAAGCCUGACGCAGCGACGCCGCGUGAGGGA